UUAUCAGAACUUCUCUGCAGAGCAUGCAGUGAGCGAGAGCAGCGCUCCUCUGUGCGGGCCAGCACUGGCCACCGUGCACCCUCGUUCCAUCUGUUUGCUCCUGCGGUUUCCACAUGAACAGGAGCCACGCGCGUCAUAAACCAGCAAAGCUACGCUGGCCAGGUGCUCCACGGGAUGGGAAGGGGUACAGGUGACCAGAUGGCUCAAUGGACUCAGAGGCGGACAUUGGGAGCGAGGUGGGGGCUGACCCCACUUUGGCCCACAGGUCAGCCUCAGGCUGGGGUCAGGUCUACCGCGUGUGACCUGGUGUGUGACUAAGCACUUGGAGAAGAAGCCGAAAAGAUGAUUUCUGGGGUGAGAGAGGAUGGCAAGGGGCAAUGAACGGGCGGAGUCUCGAGCUCUCCGCGUGGCCCUCCACCCUCCCCGUGCCCACCCUGCGUCUGAGGGCUGAGCUACAGUUCGGUGCAGCAGAACCAGCAAAUCACUCCUGGUUGGUUGAGCCAGUGGGCUCCCAGGCCAUUCAUAAAUGAUGAGUGGUUGCCACAGCAACAGCCCCGGCCCAUAUUUCAUCUCCUGGCAAGCUCUAGCAACGCUGCAGAAAACCAGACUGAAAAGGAAGGGGCCUCAGCCUCCCCACUCCGUGGUGGCAAGACCCACAGGGAUCUGAGUGUGGGGCCCACAUGGCCCAGGGGCUUCCCUGAGACCCAGGAGAGACAAACCAAGCUACCGAUCCACAGCCAAUGGGCCUCUGUAAUAAAAAAGGUACCAAGAGUCCAUGAAAUGUUUAAACACCGCGUUUAACUACUAACGAGUGAGGCAGAAGCCAGUACCUUCUGAGAAAUGAUUUUCCAGAUACUUUACAGAUCAAAGCCAUAGAAUAAAAUAAAUAUGACCAGAGAGGGCUGUGAGGAACAAGGAGUUCUGUCAAAGAAAGAGCUCAUAUGAAGAAGGAGGGGGGAAGAGCUGGAGGGGCUGCUGGGAGCACGGCCACCCUGUGCCCCUUGCAGACACUCCCCACAGCCCAUGCAAUCUUGGAGGGCGGAAAGGCCCCUGGGGGCCUCUUCUCCCCCACAGCUGGUCAUAACCGUGUCCGGCCCCGGGAUUUUCCAGGGCGGUGGCCUCAUCCUCCCUCAGUGGAUUCUACCAAACACUCAUUGUCACAGCUGUUUGUCCAAAUUCAUGGCCCCUGGGUUUCUAGAAAAGCAGAGUACACGCUGACCACAGAGUCAGUCUGACGCUGCCCUCCUCCUCCAGGAAGAAGCUCCAGAGGUGAGCUACAGACAGCCGUCCCCUGGAACCGUGGUUCCCAGGCAGGGCUGGGGUCCUGGCUGCUGCCUCCAGCCCCGGCAGCCUCAUGGGCCUGCUGUUGUCUUCCUGAAGUUCUUAGCCUUUGGAUGACAGGGCCACAUUUCCACUGGGCACUGGACCCUGCUGGCUGUGCAGCUGGCUUCAGUCCCAGGACAGGAAAAGUUUUUCCUGAGCCCCCUGCACCAACCCACACCCAACAAGGUGUCUCGUGGAAGGAUUUUGCAUCCUAUUCUCACAAGGGCAGGACAAGAAAUGAGGGAGGAGGUGGGCAGAGAGGCGGUGACCCACGGAGGGGCGAGGUGGGGGAGAAACGGGGCAGUGCCUGGAGGGCCCUUGCUCCGGGGAAGGAUGGGGAGCCACCAGUCUGGGGGGCAGGAGAUACGGAAGAUGGGAUCUGUGGAGGCUCUGACCAGCCUGGAUGGCACCAGGGCCCCUGGGGCUGAGCUCAGUGGUAGAGACCAGAGGACAGCAUACAGGUGCUCCUAACUAAGCUAGUGUGCACCAGACGUGGUGCUGGGUGC
rnacentral:lncRNA from 1 species